ACCUACGGCCAUACCACCCUGAAAGCGCCUCAUCAAGGAAGCUAAGCAGGGACGGGCUUGGUUAGUACCUGGAUGGGAGACCGCCUGGGAAUACCAGGUGUUGUAGGCU
rnacentral:rRNA from 1 species